CCUGACACUUGCCCCACUUUGCCAAUAGGCUGCCUUGCACCCCAACUGCUCAUCCAGUCAGCCAGCCACCUAACCCUUCCUAGCCUAUCUCACGCACCCACACCCUGUCCCAACGCACGCACAGCCUCCUUCCUGUUCCUUGGAAACCCAUUAUGAAUGUUAAGAAAAAGAAUACAGAGGUAGAUCAAAACAGGUUAAGCAGACGUGCUCUCUCCUCAAGGAAAAGGAGAGAAAGCAGAGGACAAAGGAAGGCCGAGGGAACCGAGGGCUCGGACCAGAUGGAAAGCAUUGGGCUGUAGGCCAAGAGAUCCACGUUCAUCCUGGAGAGACGACUAGCAGCUGUGCCACCUUAAAUGAGUUGCCCCUCCACGCCUUAGCGACCAUAUCUGAUAACUCUUACUUCGAAGAACUGCUGUAUUAAAAAGACUGUAUGUGCAGUAACAUAUUUUUCUUUUCUUCUCCGCUACUUGGAUCAGCAACGUAUUUUAAAGUAUACAGUAAAUGGCGACUUUUAUUA